UACUGGAUCAAAGGGUAUGCACAGUUUUGUAGCUGUACCCUUUGGGUAUAGUUCCAAAUUGUGGUAGGAAAUCUUUUUAACUUGUUUUCCCUGUAUGCUAGUAUGGAAAUUUGCUAGACUCUGUUCAAAUUCAGGCCUCCCUGCUCUUCUAUGAGACUGAGAUUGAGUAGGCUUCAAGGACUGUUGCUUCCUCCCAGAUGCCUUUGCUUUUUGACCUGAGUCCAAACUAUUGCAGCUACAGCCCUGGAAUUCACCCAAGUCAGCACCAAGCAUGGGACCUGCUCUUUUAGCAUUUCCCAAUUCUGUGUAUUGAUCUUUAGCAUUCCUGAUUCUGUGUAUUUAUCUCCAUGUACCAAUUUUUAUUGAUAUUCAAGGAGGACCAACACCUGUGGUGUGAGGGCUUGUGGAGCUCUUUUCAAGGCUGCUCUUCCAUCUUUGGCAUCCACCUGGCAUUCUCACCUGUGAUUCUAAGACACUGUAGCUUGCAUAGCUGCUACACCCCCAGCAAACCACCUGGGCAGGUCACAAUCCUUUGGGCUCCCGCCUCUGGCAUAGCCAUGUGUUCUAGCUAGCCCUCAGAGUUUUGUGUCACUUGCAAAACUGAUAAAUGUACUGAGUAGAGAUGGUCUGGAUAUAAAUCUCACCAGGGACAUUUCGCAGAAUCACGAUGGCCCAGCGAGGAUCCAGCUCCUAAAACACAGGCUUAUGCCUUGCUUGACUUCAGCAUGUGGGGCUUUGGGGAACAUUCUUCUGACCAUGAGUAACCAAAGGGCAGAUGCACAGCUGUGAUGACAGAUUUUUGUCUUUGGACCUAGAAGCCCUGUUGGAACUGGCACAGAGCUUGCAUGUAAAACAAGACUGCCAAGCCCCUCCCUGAGCAUCUCUUCCCUGGAGGAUUUUGGGUGAAGAACUGAGCUCCCUGUCUUAAGUCUCCCCAUUGCAAUCCAUUCUUCACACUGCUUCUGUCCUCUGUACAGCUUCUCUCUCAGUCAUUAAUUUCACUUCUGGGUAGAGCAGACAAAUGAGUCAUUUCCUUCCUUGCCAGACUAGUUCCUGGUAGGACACAAAGCCUCUUCAGUUGGAUCUUCUUUGUGGCUGGAUUAAGCAAGUUGGUCCCCAGAGCUGGUCCCACCUGAUUAAGCUGUGGCUCUUACUGGCUCUGGUGGGCUCUGUCACUAGCUCUAUUUGUCUGAGGGGGCUUCCAAAGGCUUUUGAGGUUUAUAAGCUAACUCAUUCCAUCUCUAUAGAUGUAUUUACCCAAGAUCAGAAAAAAUGGACCCAAUAGAAACAGGCACUUAACUGGAGGUAGUGGGCAGGCAGGGUGGGAGAUAAGGCUACCACUGCCCCCUCUUUGCCCCAGAGGCUCACUGUGAUUCUUCACUCAAAAGUUGGGGGUGGGGGGCAGCUGGGUGGCUCAGUGGAUUGAGAGCCAGGCCUAGAGAUGGGAGGUUCUGGGUUCAAAUCUGGCCUCAGACACUUCCCAGCUGUGUGACCUGGGCAAGUCACAACCCUCACUGCCUAGUCCUUACAGCUCUUCUGCUUUAGAACCAAUACACAUUAAUUCCAAGAUGG
ensembl:lncRNA